rnacentral:rRNA from 1 species
AACUCUGACCCAGCCAUGCCGCGUGCAGGAUGAAGGCGCUCAGCGUUGUAAACUGCUUUUAUCUGGGAAGAACGGUAGUCCUGCGGGAUUAUGUGACGGUACCAGAGGAAUAAGCACCGGCUAACUCCGUGCCAGCAGCCGCGGUAAUACGGAGGGUGCGAGCGUUGUCCGGAUUUAUUGGGUUUAAAGGGUGCGUAGGUGGUUUAGUAAGUCUGGUUUGAAAGCUGGUCGCUUAACGAUCAGAUGUGGCUGGAAACUUGCUGGACUUGAAUGCGGUGGCGGUAGCUGGAACGGGUCAUGUAGCGGUGAAAUGCAUAGAUAUGACCCAGAACCCCGAUUGCGAAGGCAGGCUACUACGCCGUGAUUGAAACUGAGGCACGAGAGCAUGGGUAGCGAACAGGAUUAGAUACCCUGGUAGUCCAUGCCGUAAACGAUGAUUACUGGCUGUUGGGUCUUUGGAUUC